UACAGAGGGGGCAAGCGUUAUUCGGAAUUAUUGGGCGUAAAGGGCGCGUAGGCGGUCUGACAAGUGGAAGGUGAAAUCCCCGCGCUUAACGUGGGAACUGCCUUCCAAACUGUUUGACUUGAGUCCGGGAGAGGGAUGCGGAAUUCCAGGUGUAGCGGUGAAAUGCGUAGAUAUCUGGAGGAACACCGGUGGCGAAGGCGGCAUCCUGGACCGGCAUUGACGCUGAGGCGCGAAAGCCAGGGGAGCAAAGCGGG
rnacentral:rRNA from 1 species